AUUGUACGCUGGCGGCAGGCCUAACACAUGCAAGUCGAGCGGGGUUUUCGGACCUAGCGGCGGACGGGUGAGUAAUGCGUAGGAAGCUGCCCGAUAGAGGGGGAUACCAGUUGGAAACGACUGUUAAUACCGCAUAAUGUCUACGGACCAAAGUGUGGGACCUUCGGGCCACAUGCUAUCGGAUGCGCCUACGUGGGAUUAGCUAGUUGGUGAGGUAAUGGCUCACCAAGGCGACGAUCUCUAGCUGGUUUGAGAGGAUGAUCAGCCACACUGGAACUGAGACACGGUCCAGACUCCUACGGGAGACAGCAGUGGGGAAUAUUGGACAAUGGGCGCAAGCCUGAUCCAGCCAUGCCGCGUGUGUGAAGAAGGCCUUCGGGUUGUAAAGCACUUUCAGCGAGGAGGAAGGGUGGUGUGUUAAUAGCACAUCAUUUUGACGUUACUCGCAGAAGAAGCACCGGCUAACUCUGUGCCAGCCGCCGCCGUAAAAC
rnacentral:rRNA from 1 species